AGUGAACGCUGGCGGUAGGCCUAACACAUGCAAGUCGAACGGCAGCACAGUAAGAGCUUGCUCUUACGGGUGGCGAGUGGCGGACGGGUGAGGAAUACAUCGGAAUCUACUUUUUCGUGGGGGAUAACGUAGGGAAACUUACGCUAAUACCGCAUACGACCUACGGGUGAAAGCAGGGGAUCUUCGGACCUUGCGCGAUUGAAUGAGCCGAUGUCGGAUUAGCUAGUUGGCGGGGUAAAGGCCCACCAAGGCGACGAUCCGUAGCUGGUCUGAGAGGAGGAUCGGCCGCACUGGAACUGAGACACGGUCCAUAGUCCUACGGGAGGCAGCAGUGGGGAAUAUUGGACAAUGGGCGCAAGCCUGAUCCAGCGAUACCGCGUGGGUGAAGAAGACCUUCGGGUUGUGAAGCCCGUUUGUGGGGAGAGAAAAGCAGCAGGUUAAUACCCCGCUGUUCUGACGGUACCCAAAGAAUAAGCACCGGCUAACUUCGUG
rnacentral:rRNA from 1 species